AGAGGCCGUUGUUAUCGAAGAUGUAAGAAUUCCGGUGGAUACAAGCAAACCUAAUCCCAACAACAUCGAGUAUGAUAAUUUGUAUCUGGAUAUGAAUGGUAUCAUUCAUCCAUGUUUUCAUCCCGAAGAUAGACCCUCUCCUACAACAUUUGAGGAGGUCUUUGAGUGCAUGUUUGAUUACAUAGACAGGCUUUUCUCUAUGGUGCGUCCUCGAAAGCUGCUAUAUAUGGCUAUUGAUGGUGUUGCACCAAGGGCAAAAAUGAAUCAGCAGAGAUCUAGACGUUUUAGAUCAGCAAAAGAUGCUGCAGAUGCGGCAGCUGAGGAGGAAAAGCUGCGGGAGGAAUUCGAGAGAGAGGGUAGGAAGCUCCCCCCAAAGCAAGAGUCACAAGUUUUUGAUUCAAAUAUCAUCACUCCCGGAACUCAGUUCAUGGCCACAUUGUCAGUUGCUCUUCAGUACUAUGUUCAUCUUAGACUGAACCAUGAUUCGGGAUGGAAAAAUGUCAAGGUUAUACUUUCUGAUGCAAAUGUCCCUGGUGAAGGUGAGCAUAAAAUUAUGUCCUAUAUCCGCCUACAACGGAAUCUUUCUGGAUAUGAUCCAAAUAUGCGUCAUUGUCUUUAUGGUUUGGAUGCAGAUCUAAUUAUGCUGGGUUUGGCUACUCAUGAA
rnacentral:misc_RNA from 1 species